GUCUACGGCCAUGCUACCCUGAACAAGUCCAAUCCCAUCUGAUCUCAGAAGCUAAAGAGGGUCGGGCCUGGUUAGUACUUGAAUGGUAGACCACCUAGGAAGACAAGGUGCUAUAGACA
ensembl:rRNA 5S_rRNA 5S ribosomal RNA